UAGGGAAUCUUCGGCAAUGGGGGGAACCCUGACCGAGCAACGCCGCGUGAGUGAAGAAGGUUUUCGGAUCGUAAAGCCCUGUUGUUAAGGAAGAACGAGUGUGAGAAUGGAAAGUUCAUGCUGUGACGGUACUUAACCAGAAAGGGACGGCUAACUACGUGCCAGCAGCCGCGGUAAUACGUAGGUCCCGAGCGUUGUCCGGAUUUAUUGGGCGUAAAGCGAGCGCAGGCGGUUAGAAAAGUCUGAAGUGAAAGGCAGUGGCUCAACCAUUGUAGGCUUUGGAAACUGUUUAACUUGAGUGCAGAAGGGGAGAGUGGAAUUCCAUGUGUAGCGGUGAAAUGCGUGGAUAUAUGGAGGAACACCGGUGGCGAAAGCGGCUCUCUGGUCUGUAACUAACGCUGAGGCUCGAAAGCGUGGGGAGCGAACAGG
rnacentral:rRNA from 1 species